UAAUUCAUUUCCUUUCCUCUGCUGCAAUGGACGGCUAGACUGCAGCAAAGGAACAACCGAAGCUUCACCAUUUCUUCUCUUCCAAAACUCAACCAAAUUCCUACCAAAACUUCCAUAGAUUCUCACCAAACUUCACAUUCAUUUAGCUUUUCACUUGGACAACAACAUAGGCUGAAAAAGGGAGGAGCUUUCACGGUUUCUUCAAGCUUCAAAGGACCGAAAAAUCUGUCCAAACCAGCCAUCAAAGUAGGCACGCACGAGGACCUCCAAGAGGACCCUACUGUGGAAGUUUGAACUCUCCCUCCAACCUACUAGCUUGCAUAACUUGGUUGAGUUCAGAGGUAAAAUGGAGCA